GGAGUCAAGGUUGGAUUUUGCAUUUUUGGUUCGGGUAUCUUUCAACCAUCCAUCAAGGUAAACUUGGUUGGAGUUAUGGUUGGAUUUUGCAUUUUCAGUUCGGGUAUCUUUCAACCAUCCAUCAAGAUAAACUUGGUUGGAGUUAGGGUUGACUUUUAUGUUUUUGGUUCGGGUAUCUUUCAACCAUCCAUCAAGGUAAACUUGGUUGGAGUCAGGAGUAGAUUUUUCUUUCUCAGCUCGGAUAUCUUUCAGCCAACCAUCAAGGUAAACUUGAUUGGAGUUAGGGGAGAGUUUUUGGUUCUUUAG